rnacentral:rRNA from 1 species
UACGUAGGGACCAAGCGUUGUUCGGAUUUACUGGGCGUAAAGGGCGCGUAGGCGGCAAUUCAAGUCAGUUGUGAAAUCUCCGAGCUUAACUCGGAACGGUCAACUGAUACUGCUUUGCUAGAGUACAGAAGGGGCAAUCGGAAUUCUUGGUGUAGCGGUGAAAUGCGUAGAUAUCAAGAGGAACACCUGAGGUGAAGACGGGUUGCUAGGCUGAUACUGACGCUGAGGCGCGAAAGCUAGGGUAGCAAACGGG